rnacentral:rRNA from 1 species
CGCGUUGUAAACUUCUUUUGUCAGGAAGAAACACUUCUACGUGUAGAAGCUUGACGGUACUGUACGAAUAAGCAUCGGCUAACUCCGUGCCAGCAGCCGCGGUAAUACGGAGGAUGCAAGCGUUAUCCGGAUUUAUUGGGUUUAAAGGGUACGUAGGCGGAAAAUUAAGUCAGUAGUGAAAUCCUGCAGCUUAACUGUAGAACUGUUAUUGAUACUGGUUUUCUUGAAUAUAGUUGAGGUAGGCGGAAUGUGUAAUGUAGCGGUGAAAUGCUUAGAUAUUACACAGAACACCGAUUGCGAAGGCAGCUUACUAAGCUAUGAUUGACGCUGAGGUACGAAAGCGUGGGGAGCGCCCCCGAUUAGAUACCCUGGGUAGUCCCGCCGUAACGAUGAUCACUCGUUGGUGGCAAUAAAUCGUCAGCGCUGAGCGAAACAUUAAGUGAUCCAC